GACGAACGCUGGCGGCGUGCUUAACACAUGCAAUUCGAACGGUGACGGAGAGCUUGCUCUCCUGAUCAGUGGCGAACGGAUGAGUAACACGUGGGCAACCUGCCCCAGACUUCGGGAUAACGCUACGAAACGAGUGCUAAUACCGGAUACGAACUCCUUGGGCAUCCUUGGGGUUGGAAAGUUUUUCGGGCUGGGAUGGGCCCGCGGCCUAUCAGAUUGUUGGUGAGGCAACGGCUCACCAAGGCGCCGACGGGUCGCCGGGCUGAGAGGGCGACCGGCCACACUGGGACUGAGACACGGCCCAGACUCCUACGGGAGGCAGCAGUGGGGAAUAUUGCGCAAUGGGCGAAAGCCUGACGCAGCAACGCCGCGUGAGGGAUGACGGCCUUCGGGUUGUAAACCUCUUUCAGCAGGGAAGAAGCGAAAGUGACGAUACCUGCAGAAGAAGCACCGGCUAACUACGUGCCAGCCGCCGCCGUAA
rnacentral:rRNA from 1 species